rnacentral:rRNA from 1 species
CAGCCGCCGCGGUAAUACGUAGGUGGCAAGCGUUGUCCGGAAUUAUUGGGCGUAAAGGGCUCGCAGGCGGUUUCUUAAGUCUGAUGUGAAAGCCCCCGGCUCAACCGGGGAGGGUCAUUGGAAACUGGGAAACUUGAGUGCAGAAGAGGAGAGUGGAAUUCCACGUGUAGCGGCGAAAUGCGUAGAGAUGUGGAGGAACACCAGUGGCGAAGGCGACUCUCUGGUCUGUAACUGACGCUGAGGAGCGAAAGCGUGGGGAGCGAACAGGAUUAGAUACCCCGGUAGUCCCUGUCUCUUAUAC